CUAGUAUAGCAAUUAUACAGCGAAACUGCGAAUGGCUCAUUAAAUCAGUUAUCGUUUAUUUGAUAGUACCUUACUACUUGGAUAACCGUGGUAAUUCUAGAGCUAAUACAUGCUAAAAACCCCGACUCACGAAGGGGUGUAUUUAUUAGAUUAAAAACCAAUGCCCUUCGGGGCUCUUUGGUGAUUCAUAAUAACUUUUCGAAUCGCAUGGCCUUGCGCCGGCGAUGGUUCAUUCAAAUUUCUGCCCUAUCAACUUUCGAUGGCAGGGUCUUGGCCUGCCAUGGUUACAACGGGUAACGGAGGGUUAGGGCUCGACCCCGGAGAAGGAGCCUGAGAAACGGCUACUACAUCCAAGGAAGGCAGCAGGCGCGCAAAUUACCCAAUCCCGAUUCGGGGAGGUAGUGACAAUAAAUACUGAUACAGGGCUCUUUUGGGUCUUGUAAUUGGAAUGAGUACAAUUUAAAUCCCUUAACGAGGAACAAUUGGAGGGCAAGUCUGGUGCCAGCAGCCGCGGUAAUUCCAGCUCCAAUAGCGUAUAUUAAAGUUGUUGCAGUUAAAAAGCUCGUAGUUGAACCUUGGGCCUGGCUGGCCGGUCCGCCUCACCGCGUGCACUGGUUCGGCCGGGCCUUUCCCUCUGGGGAACCUCAUGGUCUUCACUGAUCGUGACGGGGAACCAGGACUUUUACUGUGAAAAAAUUAGAGUGUUCAAAGCAGGCCUAUGCUCGAAUACAUUAGCAUGGAAUAAUAAAAUAGGACGUGUGGUUCUAUUUUGUUGGUUUCUAGGACCGCCGUAAUGAUUAAUAGGGACAGUCGGGGGCAUCAGUAUUCAAUUGUCAGAGGUGAAAUUCUUGGAUUUAUUGAAGACUAACUACUGCGAAAGCAUUUGCCAAGGAUGUUUUCAUUAAUCAGGAACGAAAGUUAGGGGAUCGAAGACGAUCAGAUACCGUCGUAGUCUUAACCAUAAACUAUGCCGACUAGGGAUCGGACGGUGUUACUUAUUGACCCGUUCGGCACCUUACGAGAAAUCAAAGUCUUGGGUCU
rnacentral:rRNA from 1 species